rnacentral:lncRNA from 1 species
AAGCAGCCAAGCACAACAUAAACCUAGGGCAUGCUUCCAGGGACCUACUCUUGCCAACUAGGUCCCACCUCCCAGUAAUUCUUUUGGCCAUCAAUGGAUUGAUGUACUGAUGAGGUCAAAGCCCUUAUGAUCUGAUCAUUGCCUAAAAGUGCCACCUUUGAAGUUUUUUGCAUUGUGGACCAUGCUUUCAACACACAAACUUUAGAGGAACAUUCCAGAUCUAAGCUAUUAUACCCCUGAAGGCCAAAUCUACAUUCCUAAUGUAGAGUAGGUUCUUAGGUACUAGGUGUGUAGACUGGCAUAUGUAUUGGUGCUUCAUAGCUUUCUAUAGUCCACAAUCUUAUUAGGGUAGUAAUAGAUUUAUUUACAGUUGUCCCUUGGAAGCUAUAGAGGAUCAGUUCCAGGACCUCCCAUAGAUACCAAAAAUCUAUGGAUGCUCAAGUCUCUUAUAUAAAAUGUCAAAGUAUUUGCAUAUAAGCUGGGCAUAUCCUUCUGUAUACUUUAAAUCAUCUCUGGAUUACUUGUAACACCUACUACAUUAUAAAUACUGUGUUCAUAGUUGUUACACCGUAUUGUUUAGAGAAUAAUAGCAGGCAAAAAUGUCUGUACAUGUUUAGUCAGACACAACCAUCACAGUCCUGACCCAUUCUCCUUCCCAGGUUGGUUGAAACCACAGAUGAGGAACUCUUGAAUAUGGAGGACCGACUGCAUACAUGAAGCAAGUAGAGUUUAGAGCCCACAGGGAAUUAACUACUGAGUUAAUACCCAAAUAUGUGGCACAUAACAUAAAUACUGCAGGUGGCCAGGAGGGAGACAGACUUAUCUGUCCCCUGGUGUGUAAGUUAUGGAUGGCAGGAGUUUAACCCAGACCUUGAAGGAUAUUUGAAUUCAGUAAUUAGGGAGGUGAUCUUUGAGUUAGAAAUUUAGCACAAGACAAAGUUUGACAGGGAGACAGAAUAUUGUGUGUGUGUUUGCAUGUCCGUGUGUGUUUGUGUGUGUGAGAAUAGAAAAGAUAGUUCAAGAAAAUAAAACAAAGUACAUAAAACACUUAUCACAAUGC